GGAAGGGCAAUGGAGGUCCUGGAAGGGCAACGGAGGUCCUGGAAGGGCAAUGGAGGUCCUGGAAGGGCAACGGAGGUCCUGGAAGGGCAACGGAGGUCCUUGAAGGGCAGUGGAGGUCCUGGAAGGGCAACGGAGGUCCUGGAAGGGCAGUGGAGGUCCUGGAAGGGCAACGGAGGUCCUGGAAGGGCCGUGGAGGUCCUGGAAGGGCAACGGAGGUCCUGGAAGGGCAGUGGAGGUCCUGGAAGGGCAAUGGAGGUCCUGGAAGGGCAACGGAGGUCCUGGAAGGGCAGUGGAGGUCCUGGAAGGGCAAUGGAGGUCCUGGAAGGGCAGUGGAGGUCCUUGAAGGGCAAUGGAGGUCCUGGAAGGGCAGUGGAGGUCCUUGAAGGGCAGUGGAGGUCCUUGAAGGGCAGUGGAGGUCCUGGAAGGGCAACGGAGGUCCUGGAAGGGCAGUGGAGGUCCUUGAAGGGCAACGGAGGUCCUGGAAGGGCAACGGAGGUCCUGGAAGGGCAGUGGAGGUCCUGGAAGGGCAACGGAGGUCCUGGAAGGGCAGUGGAGGUCCUGGAAGGGCAGUGGAGGUCCUGGAAGGGCAACGGAGGUCCUGGAAGGGCAGUGGAGGUCCUGGAAGGGCAGUGGAGGUCCUGGAAGGGCAAUGGAGGUCCUGGAAGGGCAACGGAGGUCCUGGAAGGGCAGUGGAGGUCCUGGAAGGGCAACGGAGGUCCUUGAAGGGCAGUGGAGGUCCUGGAAGGGCAGUGGAGGUCCUGGAAGGGCAGUGGAGGUCCUUGAAGGGCAACGGAGGUCCUGGAAGGGCAGUGGAGGUCCUUGAAGGGCAGUGGAGGUCCUUGAAGGGCAGUGGAGGUCCUGGAAGGGCAACGGAGGUCCUGGAAGGGCAGUGGAGGUCCUUGAAGGGCAACGGAGGUC
ensembl:lncRNA